rnacentral:rRNA from 1 species
GCAGUGUACCCGCGGCAAGACGGAAAGACCCCGUGAACCUUUACUAUAGCUUGACACUGAACAUUGAGCCUUGAUGUGUAGGAUAGGUGGGAGGCUUUGAAGCGUGGACGCCAGUCUGCGUGGAGCCGACCUUGAAAUACCACCCUUUAAUGUUUGAUGUUCUAACGUGGACCCGUGAUCCGGGUUGCGGACAGUGUCUGGUGGGUAGUUUGACUGGGGCGGUCUCCUCCUAAAGAGUAACGGAGGAGCACGAAGGUUGGCUAAUCCUGGUCGGACAUCAGGAGGUUAGUGCAAUGGCAUAAGCCAGCUUGACUGCGAGCGUGACGGCGCGAGCAGGUGCGAAAGCAGGUCAUAGUGAUCCGGUGGUUCUGAAUGGAAGGGCCAUCGCUCAACGGAUAAAAGGUACUCCGGGGAUAACAGGCUGAUACCGCCCAAGAGUUCAUAUCGACGGCGGUGUUUGGCACCUCGAUGUCGGCUCAUCACAUCCUGGGGCUGAAGUAGGUCCCAAGGGUAUGGCUGUUCGCCAUUUAAAGUGGUACGCGAGCUGGGUUUAGAACGUCGUGAGACAGUUCGGUCCCUAUCUGCCGUGGGCGCUGGAGAACUGAGGGGGGCUGCUCCUAGUACGAGAGGACCGGAGUGGACGCAUCACUGGUGUUCGGGUUGUCAUGCCAAUGGCACUGCCCGGUAGCUAAAUGCGGAAGAGAUAAGUGCUGAAAGCAUCUAAGCACGAAACUUGCCCCGAG